GCAACCCUGACGGAGCAAGACCGCGUGGGGGAGGAAUGCCUUAGGGUUGUAAACCCCUUUUAUCUGGGAAGAAAAUACUGACGGUACCAGAUGAAUCAGCCUCGGCUAACUCCGUGCCAGCAGCCGCGGUAAUACGGAGGAGGCAAGCGUUAUCCGGAUUUAUUGGGCGUAAAGGGUCUGCAGGUGGCGGUUCAAGUCUGCUGUCAAAGACAGUAGCUCAACUACUGACAGGCACUGGAAACUGAAUCGCUAGAGAACGGUAGGGGCAGAAGGAAUUCCCGGUGUAGCGGUGAAAUGCGUAGAUUUCGGGAAGAACAUCGGCGGCGAAAGCGUUCUGCUGGACCGUAUCUGACACUCAGGGACGAAAGCUAGGGGAGCG
rnacentral:rRNA from 1 species